UUUGUGCGGCCGACUAUUGGCGCCGUGUCUUCUCAUUCUUGUGAGAUAUCUUACAGUUGCCUUUCGGGUGCUUGCGUGAUGUUACCCGACCUACGGGAAGUGGUGCUUCAUACAAAGUUGACUCGCGGUGGACGCCUUUGGGUGUGCUACUGCGGCCAUAUGGCGCUUGCGGCGUUUCCUCUUGGCCCGGCAUGUUUUUGUGCCUGGUGCUAUCAAGGCAGCCUCGCUCUCGCUGUUGGUUUUGGAUGUUGCUCAUGAUAUAGGCUCGUGGCCCUUUUUGGUUGCCUCGGCCUGACCCUAAUAACGCUCUCCGAAUUUGAGAACAACCGGAACAUGUGUUGCCUCUACCUCUCCACAGUUAGUGGUAGGAGUACGCAACAUACUGUGCCGAUCCUCAUACAAGUAGGACGAGCUAGGCCCGCUCAAUUGCGACAACUAGCUCGGUAGUUGGCUCUGCCUUGCCACGCAAGUGGACGGGAGGGCAACUACCGACGCUGG
rnacentral:misc_RNA from 1 species